GCCAGCAUGGUGAAGUGGUUUGAGCACUGGACUACGACUCUGGAGACCAGGGUUCGAAAUCCUGGCUUGGCC
rnacentral:tRNA from 1 species